CACUGCAGCGGGACGGAGCACGCGCAGUGUUCCGCCACCGCCUGCCUGACCUUGAGCUGCGGCACGCUUCUGCGCAUGCGUUGUCGCAGGGCGGGAGGAUCUUUAGUCACGUGAGCAUCCUCGCGCUAAGUCGCUGAAGGGUGGUGAAGGGGCGCCAUUUUGGUGCUGAGGGGUGAUGCUGAUGUGUUGCUGUUGGAGGCUUAGGGUGUUGCUGUGUGAGCGGCUCUGGAGCUGUGAGGAUGGGAUUGGAGAGCCCUGGAAAGAGGAUGGGAAGGGGCCCUCGAUUGAGGCUGUGCAUAAGCAGUGGCAGUCAGUGCAGAGCAGUGAGGAAAGGAGCCAGCUUUAGGAGGUGUGGGCAUAGGGCUGGCUGGGCUGGGGCACAGAGGAGGCUGCAGUGAGGCUGUGGCUGAUGUGAACUCAUCCUGGGUACUGCGGGUCAGCAUAGGGUGGAAUUGGUGUUCAGGCUGAUCUCCAAGCAGAAGAAGGGAAGGUAACCAUGUAUGGCACUGUGUGCAAAUGAAAUGUAGAGGAGGAACGUUUCCUAGUGUUCUGUGGCUGAGAUUCAGAGUCUGUGCUCAGUGCAGGCAGCUUCAGAGAUGCUCCUCGCGUCCUGGAUAAUGUUCCCUGCCAGUGAGACCACCGUGUAACUUUUUUUUGCUGUGACAUUGUAAUGGGAGGUGGAGACACCUCGAGGAGAAGGUCGAAACAGACAGCAGCAGUUGCAGGCAGUAAUGUGCCUCUAUGACUGGAGAAAAUCCGGCCCCAAUUACAGAAAUGUCAGGAAGACUUUCCAUGUUUCAGAUCUGUUUCGGUACGUUUUCACUUCAUGAUGCCGAGUACUGAUGCUCUCAGGAGGUUGCACAAAAAGGACAUAAAACCAUAAUAAGUUUUCAGAGAGGAUAUCAGCAUACCAUCUGAAGGUUAUCCCACUGUGGUUCAUUCUGUUCAGGGUUUGAAGGACAAAAGGAUCACAUUGAUUUCCAUGAUGUUUAAGGCUAAACACAUGAAACCACGUUCUCACCUGGACAUUAUUUCUCCCUGACUUUAUGAAACGUGACAACUUGAAAAUGCUGCAUCUGAUCAAUUGUAAACAUUCAGAUCAAGUGAUUGGGCAGUAGCACUCAUUUGUGUUCCUGGCAUACCAAUACAUUUUUUCUCCUCUCUGAGAACUGGAGUUAUCACAUCACUGAAAGAUCUGUGGCUGGAUAAAUAAUACAGAGCUUGUAUGCAAUCUGUGCAAAACUGAAGGAAAACAGAUCUGAAGUUCAGAAUGGAGGAAAGGAUGGUGGACAUGCAACAACAGCAGGAGUGAAGGUAUGCAUGGAAACGCUGAUAGUGACAUUGAGAGGAGGUAGAUGGGGCACUGUGCUGCUGUUGUAGGAGGGAAUGAAGGAUUCUCAAGGAGAGUAGGAAGAGGAUUCCUGAAGGGGAGAAGUAUUGGCAUCACACCAACCUGUGUGCAGCCUGCUUGUGAGCACGUGUGUGCUUCAGGUAUUAGAGGGGAGGCUGAGAGAGGGCUUUGGAAAGGUGGCACAUGAGGCAUCUGUGAAGCAGGGGGGAGUGUUAAAAAAUGAG